ensembl:rRNA 5S_rRNA 5S ribosomal RNA
GUCUAUGGCCAUACCACCCUGAAAGUGCCCGAUCUUGUCUGAUCUUGGAAGCUAAGCAGGGUCAGGCCUGGUUAGUACUUGGAUGGGUGAACAGGGAAAAUAGUGAAACUACAACAGACC